rnacentral:rRNA from 1 species
GACGAACGCUGGCGGCGUGCCUAAUACAUGCAAGUAGAACGCUGAAGGAGGAGCUUGCUCUUCUGGAUGAGUUGCGAACGGGUGAGUAACGCGUAGGUAACCUGCCUGGUAGCGGGGGAUAACUAUUGGAAACGAUAGCUAAUACCGCAUAAGAGUAGAUGUUGCAUGACAUUUGCUUAAAAGGUGCAAUUGCAUCACUACCAGAUGGACCUGCGUUGUAUUAGCUAGUUGGUGGGGUAACGGCUCACCAAGGCGACGAUACAUAGCCGACCUGAGAGGGUGAUCGGCCACACUGGGACUGAGACACGGCCCAGACUCCUACGGGAGGCAGCAGUAGGGAAUCUUCGGCAAUGGACGGAAGGCUGACCGAGCAACGCCGCGUGAGUGAAGAAGGUUGUCGGAUCGUAAAGCUCUGUUGUAAGAGAAGAACGAGUGUGAGAGUGGAAAGUUCACACUGUGACGGUAUCUUACCAGAAAGGGACGGCUAACUACGUG